CCCCGUACACAAAAAUGCACAUGCUGUGAGCUCGAUGAGUAGGGCGGGACACGUGGUAUCCUGUCUGAAUAUGGGGGGACCAUCCUCCAAGGCUAAAUACUCCUGACUGACCGAUAGUGAACCAGUACCGUGAGGGAAAGGCGAAAAGAACCCCGGCGAGGGGAGUGAAAAAGAACCUGAAACCGUGUACGUACAAGCAGUGGGAGCCUCUUUAUGGGGUGACUGCGUACCUUUUGUAUAAUGGGUCAGCGACUUAUAUUCUGUAGCAAGGUUAACCGAAUAGGGGAGCCGAAGGGAAACCGAGUCUUAACUGGGCGUUAAGUUGCAGGGUAUAGACCCGAAACCCGGUGAUCUAGCCAUGGGCAGGUUGAAGGUUGGGUAACACUAACUGGAGGACCGAACCGACUAAUGUUGAAAAAUUAGCGGAUGACUUGUGGCUGGGGGUGAAAGGCCAAUCAAACCGGGAGAUAGCUGGUUCUCCCCGAAAGCUAUUUAGGUAGCGCCUCGUGAAUUCAUCUCCGGGGGUAGAGCACUGUUUCGGCAAGGGGGUCAUCCCGACUUACCAACCCGAUGCAAACUGCGAAUACCGGAGAAUGUUAUCACGGGAGACACACGGCGGGUGCUAACGUCCGUCGUGAAGAGGGAAACAACCCAGACCGCCAGCUAAGGUCCCAAAGUCAUGGUUAAGUGGGAAACGAUGUGGGAAGGCCCAGACAGCCAGGAUGUUGGCUUAGAAGCAGCCAUCAUUUAAAGAAAGCGUAAUAGCUCACUGGUCGAGUCGGCCUGCGCGGAAGAUGUAACGGGGCUAAACCAUGCACCGAAGCUGCGGCAGCGACGCUUAUGCGUUGUUGGGUAGGGGAGCGUUCUGUAAGCCUGCGAAGGUGUGCUGUGAGGCAUGCUGGAGGUAUCAGAAGUGCGAAUGCUGACAUAAGUAACGAUAAAGCGGGUGAAAAGCCCGCUCGCCGGAAGACCAAGGGUUCCUGUCCAACGUUAAUCGGGGCAGGGUGAGUCGACCCCUAAGGCGAGGCCGAAAGGCGUAGUCGAUGGGAAACAGGUUAAUAUUCCUGUACUUGGUGUUACUGCGAAGGGGGGACGGAGAAGGCUAUGUUGGCCGGGCGACGGUUGUCCCGGUUUAAGCGUGUAGGCUGGUUUUCCAGGCAAAUCCGGAAAAUCAAGGCUGAGGCGUGAUGACGAGGCACUACGGUGCUGAAGCAACAAAUGCCCUGCUUCCAGGAAAAGCCUCUAAGCAUCAGGUAACAUCAAAUCGUACCCCAAACCGACACAGGUGGUCAGGUAGAGAAUACCAAGGCGCUUGAGAGAACUCGGGUGAAGGAACUAGGCAAAAUGGUGCCGUAACUUCGGGAGAAGGCACGCUGAUAUGUAGGUGAAGCGACUUGCUCGUGGAGCUGAAAUCAGUCGAAGAUACCAGCUGGCUGCAACUGUUUAUUAAAAACACAGCACUGUGCAAACACGAAAGUGGACGUAUACGGUGUGACGCCUGCCCGGUGCCGGAAGGUUAAUUGAUGGGGUUAGCGCAAGCGAAGCUCUUGAUCGAAGCCCCGGUAAACGGCGGCCGUAACUAUAACGGUCCUAAGGUAGCGAAAUUCCUUGUCGGGUAAGUUCCGACCUGCACGAAUGGCGUAAUGAUGGCCAGGCUGUCUCCACCCGAGACUCAGUGAAAUUGAACUCGCUGUGAAGAUGCAGUGUACCCGCGGCAAGACGGAAAGACCCCGUGAACCUUUACUAUAGCUUGACACUGAACAUUGAGCCUUGAUGUGUAGGAUAGGUGGGAGGCUUUGAAGUGUGGACGCCAGUCUGCAUGGAGCCGACCUUGAAAUACCACCCUUUAAUGUUUGAUGUUCUAACGUUGGCCCCUGAUCGGGGUUGCGGACAGUGUCUGGUGGGUAGUUUGACUGGGGCGGUCUCCUCCUAAAGAGUAACGGAGGAGCACGAAGGUUGGCUAAUCCUGGUCGGACAUCAGGAGGUUAGUGCAAUGGCAUAAGCCAGCUUGACUGCGAGCGUGACGGCGCGAGCAGGUGCGAAAGCAGGUCAUAGUGAUCCGGUGGUUCUGAAUGGAAGGGCCAUCGCUCAACGGAUAAAAGGUACUCCGGGGAUAACAGGCUGAUACCGCCCAAGAGUUCAUAUCGACGGCGGUGUUUGGCACCUCGAUGUCGGCUCAUCACAUCCUGGGGCUGAAGUAGGUCCCAAGGGUAUGGCUGUUCGCCAUUUAAAGUGGUACGCGAGCUGGGUUUAGAACGUCGUGAGACAGUUCGGUCCCUAUCUGCCGUGGGCGCUGGAGAACUGAGGGGGGCUGCUCCUAGUACGAGAGGACCGGAGUGGACGCAUCACUGGUGUUCGGGUUGUCAUGCCAAUGGCACUGCCCGGUAGCUAAAUGCGGAAGAGAUAAGUGCUGAAAGCAUCUAAGCACGAAACUUGCCCCGAGAUGAGUUCUCCCUGACUCCCUGAGAGUCCUGAAGGAACGUUGAAGACGACGACGUUGAUAGGCCGGGUGUGUAAGCGCAGCGAUGCGUUGAGCUAACCGGUACUAAUGAACCGUGAGGCUUAACCUU
rnacentral:rRNA from 1 species